rnacentral:rRNA from 1 species
GGGUUGUGAGGUUAAGCGACUAAGCGUACACGGUGGAUGCCCUGGCAGUCAGAGGCGAUGAAGGACGUGCUAAUCUGCGAAAAGCGUCGGUAAGGUGAUAUGAACCGUUAUAACCGGCGAUGUCCGAAUGGGGAAACCCAGUGCAAUUCGUUGCACUAUCGUUAACUGAAUACAUAGGUUAACGAGGCGAACCGGGGGAACUGAAACAUCUAAGUACCCCGAGGAAAAGAAAUCAACCGAGAUUCCCCCAGUAGCGGCGAGCGAACGGGGAGCAGCCCAGAGUCUGAAUCAGCUUGUGUGUUAGUGGAACGGUCUGGAAAGUCCGACGGUACAGGGUGAUAGUCCCGUACACCAAAAUGCACAGGUUGUGAACUCGAAGAGUAGGGCGGGACACGUGGUAUCCUGUCUGAAUAUGGGGGGACCAUCCUCCAAGGCUAAAUACUCCUGACUGACCGAUAGUGAACCAGUACCGUGAGGGAAAGGCGAAAAGAACCCCGGCGAGGGGAGUGAAAAAGAACCUGAAACCGUGUACGUACAAGCAGUGGGAGCACCUUCGGGUGUGACUGCGUACCUUUUGUAUAAUGGGUCAGCGACUUAUAUUCUGUAGCAAGGUUAACCGUAUAGGGGAGCCGCAGGGAAACCGAGUCUUAACUGGGCGUUAAGUUGCAGGGUAUAGACCCGAAACCCGGUGAUCUAGCCAUGGGCAGGUUGAAGGUUGGGUAACACUAACUGGAGGACCGAACCGACUAAUGUUGAAAAAUUAGCGGAUGACUUGUGGCUGGGGGUGAAAGGCCAAUCAAACCGGGAGAUAGCUGGUUCUCCCCGAAAGCUAUUUAGGUAGCGCCUCGUGAACUCAUCUUCGGGGGUAGAGCACUGUUUCGGCUAGGGGGUCAUCCCGACUUACCAACCCGAUGCAAACUACGAAUACCGAAGAAUGUUAUCACGGGAGACACACGGCGGGUGCUAACGUCCGUCGUGAAGAGGGAAACAACCCAGACCGCCAGCUAAGGUCCCAAAGUCAUGGUUAAGUGGGAAACGAUGUGGGAAGGCACAGACAGCCAGGAUGUUGGCUUAGAAGCAGCCAUCAUUUAAAGAAAGCGUAAUAGCUCACUGGUCGAGUCGGCCUGCGCGGAAGAUGUAACGGGGCUAAACCAUGCACCGAAGCUGCGGCAGCGACACUAUGUGUUGUUGGGUAGGGGAGCGUUCUGUAAGCCUGCGAAGGUGUGCUGUGAGGCAUGCUGGAGGUAUCAGAAGUGCGAAUGCUGACAUAAGUAACGAUAAAGCGGGUGAAAAGCCCGCUCGCCGGAAGACCAAGGGUUCCUGUCCAACGUUAAUCGGGGCAGGGUGAGUCGACCCCUAAGGCGAGGCCGAAAGGCGUAGUCGAUGGGAAACAGGUUAAUAUUCCUGUACUUGGUGUUACUGCGAAGGGGGGACGGAGAAGGCUAUGUUAGCCGGGCGACGGUUGUCCCGGUUUAAGCAUGUAGGCUGGUUAUCCAGGCAAAUCCGGAUAAUCAAGGCUGAGGUGUGAUGACGAGGCACUACGGUGCUGAAGUAACAAAUGCCCUGCUUCCAGGAAAAGCCUCUAAGCAUCAGGUAACAUCAAAUCGUACCCCAAACCGACACAGGUGGUCAGGUAGAGAAUACCAAGGCGCUUGAGAGAACUCGGGUGAAGGAACUAGGCAAAAUGGUGCCGUAACUUCGGGAGAAGGCACGCUGGUGUGUAGGUGAAGUCCCUGCGGAUGGAGCUGAGACCAGUCGAAGAUACCAGCUGGCUGCAACUGUUUAUUAAAAACACAGCACUGUGCAAACACGAAAGUGGACGUAUACGGUGUGACGCCUGCCCGGUGCCGGAAGGUUAAUUGAUGGGGUUAUCCGUAAGGAGAAGCUCUUGAUCGAAGCCCCGGUAAACGGCGGCCGUAACUAUAACGGUCCUAAGGUAGCGAAAUUCCUUGUCGGGUAAGUUCCGACCUGCACGAAUGGCGUAAUGAUGGCCAGGCUGUCUCCACCCGAGACUCAGUGAAAUUGAACUCGCUGUGAAGAUGCAGUGUACCCGCGGCAAGACGGAAAGACCCCGUGAACCUUUACUAUAGCUUGACACUGAACAUUGAGCCUUGAUGUGUAGGAUAGGUGGGAGGCUUUGAAGCGUGGACGCCAGUCUGCGUGGAGCCAACCUUGAAAUACCACCCUUUAAUGUUUGAUGUUCUAACGUUGGCCCCUUACCGGGGUUGCGGACAGUGUCUGGUGGGUAGUUUGACUGGGGCGGUCUCCUCCCAAAGCGUAACGGAGGAGCACGAAGGUUAGCUAAUCCUGGUCGGACAUCAGGAGGUUAGUGCAAUGGCAUAAGCUAGCUUGACUGCGAGCGUGACGGCGCGAGCAGGUGCGAAAGCAGGUCAUAGUGAUCCGGUGGUUCUGAAUGGAAGGGCCAUCGCUCAACGGAUAAAAGGUACUCCGGGGAUAACAGGCUGAUACCGCCCAAGAGUUCAUAUCGACGGCGGUGUUUGGCACCUCGAUGUCGGCUCAUCACAUCCUGGGGCUGAAGUAGGUCCCAAGGGUAUGGCUGUUCGCCAUUUAAAGUGGUACGCGAGCUGGGUUUAGAACGUCGUGAGACAGUUCGGUCCCUAUCUGCCGUGGGCGCUGGAGAAUUGAGGGGGGCUGCUCCUAGUACGAGAGGACCGGAGUGGACGCAUCACUGGUGUUCGGGUUGUCAUGCCAAUGGCACUGCCCGGUAGCUAAAUGCGGAAGAGAUAAGUGCUGAAAGCAUCUAAGCACGAAACUUGCCCCGAGAUGAGUUCUCCCUGAGACUUUAAGUCUCCUGAAGGAACGUU